GAUGAACGCUGGCGGCGUGCUUAACACAUGCAAGUCGAACGGGAAACCUUUUAAAGAAGCUUCGGCAGAUUUAGCUGGUUUCUAGUGGCGGACGGGUGAGUAACGCGUGGGUAACCUGCCUUGUACAGGGGGAUAACAGUCAGAAAUGACUGCUAAUACCGCAUAAGCGCACAGGACCGCAUGGUCCAGUGUGAAAAACUCCGGUGGUAUAAGAUGGACCCGCGUUGGAUUAGCUGGUUGGUGGGGUAACGGCCUACCAAGGCGACGAUCCAUAGCCGGCCUGAGAGGGUGAACGGCCACAUUGGGACUGAGACACGGCCCAGACUCCUACGGGAGGCAGCAGUGGGGAAUAUUGCACAAUGGGGGAAACCCUGAUGCAGCGACGCCGCGUGAAGGAAGAAGUAUCUCGGUAUGUAAACUUCUAUCAGCAGGGAAGAGAUUGACGGUAC
rnacentral:rRNA from 1 species